GAUGAACGCUGGCGGCGUGCCUAAUACAUGCAAGUCGAGCGAACAGACGAGGAGCUUGCUCCUCUGACGUUAGCGGCGGACGGGUGAGUAACACGUGGAUAACCUACCUAUAAGACUGGGAUAACUUCGGGAAACCGGAGCUAAUACCGGAUAAUAUAUUGAACCGCAUGGUUCAAUAGUGAAAGACGGUUUUGCUGUCACUUAUAGAUGGAUCCGCGCCGCAUUAGCUAGUUGGUAAGGUAACGGCUUACCAAGGCAACGAUGCGUAGCCGACCUGAGAGGGUGAAUCGCCACACUGGAACUUAGACACGGUCCAGACCCCUACGGGGGGGAGCAGUAGGGAAUCUUCCGGAAUUGGCGGAAAGCUUACGGGGCAAACGCGCGGGAGUUAAGAAGGUUUUCGGAUCGUAAAACUCUGUUAUUAGGGAAGAACAAAUGUGUAAGUAACUAUGCACGUCUUGACGGUACCUAAUCAGAAAGCCACGGCUAACUACGUG
rnacentral:rRNA from 1 species